AGUGGUUGCUGGACAAGGUCACAGGAUAUGUGAUGCUUUGGCGCCACCUAGUGGACAAGAGCAGAAGGGAAAACCAACGAUUGUCCACCACGUCAAUUGGACUGGAAGCCGCCCUGCACACAAAGUCAAAAGAAAAUUGCAAACAGGUGAGUGCUCGUUUGCAGCUGACGUCGGAAUUUAAUUAUCUUCUUUUCCCCACCUGCAAAGAAAAAAAGGCGGAGCACUUGUCCAAGUAUUUGUCAAUAACUUGCAAAAAUUCUUCCAAACCAUUUGACAGCCUUUAUGGAAAAAGUGGUUGCUGGACAAGGUCACAGGAUAUGUGAUGCUUUGGCGCCACCUAGUGGACAAGAGCAGAAGGGAAAACCAACGAUUGUCCACCACGUCAAUUGGACUGGAAGCCGCCCUGCACACAAAGUCAAAAGAAAAUUGCAAACAGUGUCCACCAACCCAAAUUGCCCUUCUCGAACGCCGCCAUCUUGUUCAACCAGCUGCGGUGAUUGCGCCCUCGGAAAACUGCAACAGAGGCCCAGACUUGGUAAGACACCACAACACUCAAAGUUAAUAGCGUUUCGUGAACAGAUCAGUUUUCACAAAUGACAUUUUGGACAAAAUACAUGUUCUCACCUCACCCGUGAUCUGUGUGCUGGGG